AGUUUGAUUCUGGCUCAGGAUGAACGCUAGCGGCAGGCUUAACACAUGCAAGUCGAGGGGCAGCAUGUCCAGCAAUGGAUGAUGGCGACCGGCGGAAGGGUGCGUAACGCGUGAGCAACAUGCCCUAUACAGGGAGAUACACCAGGGAAACUUGGUCUAAUAUCCCAUAGCAUUCAUUGAAGGCAUCUUUAAUGAAUUAAAGCUUCGGUGGUAUAGGAUUGGCUCGCGUGACAUCAGCCAGAUGGUGAGGUAACGGCUCACCAUAGCAAUGAUGUCUAGGGGUUUUGAGAGGAAGGCCCCCCACACUGGGACUGAGACACGGCCCAGACUCCUACGGGAGGCAGCAGUGAGGAAUAUUGGACAAUGGAUGGAAAUCUGAUCCAGCCAUGCCGCGUGCAGGAAGACGGCCUUAUGGGUUGUAAACUGCUUUUAUACGGGAGCAAUAAGGGUUACGAGUAAUCCGAUGAGAGUACUGUAUGAAUAAGGAUCGGCUAACUCCGUGCCAGCAGCCGCGGUAAUACGGAGGAUCCGAGCGUUAUCCGGAAUUAUUGGGUUUAAAGGGUGCGUAGGCGGCCAUUUAAGUCAGCGGUGAAAUUUUGCAGCUUAACUGUAACAGUGCCGUUGAUACUGUUUGGCUAGGAUUUGGUUGUAGUGUGCGGAAUGUGUGGUGUAGCGGUGAAAUGCUUAGAUAUCACACAGAACACCGAUUGCGAAGGCAGCACACUAAGUCAUUAUUGACGCUGAGGCACGAAAGUGUGGGGAUCAAACAGGAUUAGAUACCCUGGUAGUCCACACUGUAAACGAUGAUAACUCGCUGUCGGCGAUACACAGUCGGGGCCAAGCGAAAGC
rnacentral:rRNA from 1 species